rnacentral:rRNA from 1 species
UACACUCCUGCGGGAGGCAGCAGUGGGGAAUUUUGGACAAUGGGCGAAAGCCUGAUCCAGCAAUGCCGCGUGAGUGAAGAAGGCCUUCGGGUUGUAAAGCUCUUUUGUCAGGGAAGAAACGGUGAAAGCUAAUAUCUUUUGCUAAUGACGGUACCUGAAGAAUAAGCACCGGCUAACUACGUGCCAGCAGCCGCGGUAAUACGUAGGGUGCAAGCGUUAAUCGGAAUUACUGGGCGUAAAGCGUGCGCAGGCGGUUUUGUAAGUCUGAUGUGAAAUCCCCGGGCUCAACCUGGGAAUUGCAUUGGAGACUGCAAGGCUAGAAUCUGGCAGAGGGGGGUAGAAUUCCACGUGUAGCAGUGAAAUGCGUAGAUAUGUGGAGGAACACCGAUGGCGAAGGCAGGCCCCUGGGUCAAGAUUGACGCUCAUGCACGAAAGCGUGGGGAGCAAACAGGAUUAGAUACCCGAGUAGUCCCAU